rnacentral:rRNA from 1 species
GAUGAACGCUGGCGGCGUGCUUAACACAUGCAAGUCGAACGAGAAAUGUAGACGGAAACCUUCGGGCGGAAGCCUUCAUUUCGAGUGGCGGACGGGUGAGUCACGCGUGGGUAACCUGCCUCAUACAGGGGGAUAACAGUUGGAAACGACUGUUCAUACCGCAUAAGACCACAGCAUCGCAUGAUGCGGGGGUAAAAACUCCGGUGGUAUGAGAUGGACCCGCGUUCGAUUAGCCAGUUGGCGGGGUAACGGCCCACCAAAGCGACGAUCGAUAGCCGAUCUGAGAGGAUGACCGGCCACAUUGGGACUGAGACACGGCCCAAACUCCUACGGGAGGCAGCAGUGGGGAAUACUGCACAAUGGGGGAACCCCUGAUGCAGCGACGCCGCGUGAGUGAAGAAGUACUUCGGUAUGUAAAGCUCUAUCAGCAGGGAAGAAAAUGACGGUACCUGAGUAAGAAGCCCGGGCUAACUACGUG